GAUGAACGCUGGCGGCGUGCCUAAUACAUGCAAGUCGAGCGAACAGACGCGGAGCUUGCUCGUCUGACGUUAGCGGCGGACGGGUGAGUCACACGUGGAUCACCUACCUAUCAGACUGGGAUAACUUCGGGAAACCGGCGAUAAUACCGGAUAAUAUAUUGAUCCGCAGGGUUCAAUAGUGAAAGGCGGUUUUGGUGUCAGUUAUGGACGGAUCCGCGCCGCAUUUGCUAGUUGGUAAGGUACAGGCUUACUAAGGCACCGAUGCGUUGCCGGCCUGAGAGGGUGAGCGGGCACACUGUAACUGAGACACGGUCCAACGUCCUACGGGAGGCAGCGGUAGGGAAGCUGCCACAAUGGGCGAAAGCCUGACGGAGCAACGCCGCGUGAGUGAUGAAGGUCUUCGGAUCGUAAAACUGUGUUAUUAUUGAAGUAAUAAUGUGGAAGCAACUAUGCACGUCGUGACGGUACCUAGUCAGAAAGCCACGGCUAACUACGUG
rnacentral:rRNA from 1 species